GAAUGGCUCAGUGGGUCAGUGCGUUUGGCUGUGAACCAGAAGGUAGGUAGUUCAAGCCCACCCAGGGACA